UACGUAGGGUGCGAGCGUUGUCCGGAAUUACUGGGCGUAAAGAGCUCGUAGGUGGUUUUGUCGCGUUUGUUCGUGAAAAACUCACAACUCAAUUUGUGGGCGUGCGGGGCGUACGGGGCAGACUGGAGUACUGCAGGGGAGACUGGAAUUCCUGGUGUAGCGGUGGAAUGCGCAGAUAUCAGGAGGAACACCUGUGGUGUAGACAGCUUACUGGGACCAUAAC
rnacentral:rRNA from 1 species